rnacentral:rRNA from 1 species
AUGGCGACCGGCGCACGGGUGAGUAACACGUAUCCAACCUGCCGAUGACUCGGGGAUAGCCUUUCGAAAGAAAGAUUAAUACCCGAUGGCAUAGUUCUUCCGCAUGGUAGAACUAUUAAAGAAUUUCGGUCAUCGAUGGGGAUGCGUUCCAUUAGCUUGUUGGCGGGGUAACGCCCACCAAGGCAUCGAUGGAUAGGGGUUCUGAGAGGAAGGGUCCCCCACAUUGGAACUGAGACACGGUCCAAACUCCUACGGAAGGCAGCAG